rnacentral:rRNA from 1 species
GAUCAUGGCUCAGGAUGAACGCUGGCGGCGUGCCUAACACAUGCAAGUCGAGCGAUUCUCUUCGGAGAAGAGCGGCGGACGGGUGAGUAACGCGUGGGUAACCUGCCCUGUACACACGGAUAACAUACCGAAAGGUAUGCUAAUACGGAGUAACAUAAGAAAUUACGCAUGUUUUUCUUUAUCAAAGACUCCGGCGGGUACAGGAUGGACCGCGUCUGAUUAGCUAGUUGGUUGAGGUAAUGGCU